AGUCGGCUGGUAGUUGUAGAUAUUACUGUGCGUUAUUAAUUUUUAUAACUUCGAAAUAUUAUUGUCGCAUAAAAGAUAAAUCUGUGUUUCUCAAAUAUACAUGUAAAAUCGCCGUACAGAGUUAUUAGCAUACCCUACUUGCUAAAAUUGCUGUAACGCAAAGUUUUGGAAAUCCUCACAAUGCCGCAUUGUUUUUAAUUUUGUUCAAAUGUUGAAAGAUGGACGUAGUUCUCGUUUUGUGUCUAUUUAGCGUGUCGCUUCAUAACGGAUAUGAGAGAAAAGCUUUCUAGUUCCGGAGCAAUAAUAUUUUUAUCACUUGCUUGAAUCCAUAUGAAAACAUGGCUAGUGAUGAAUCCAGUGUUCGAGUGGCUGUGAGAAUCAGACCACAGACGCCAGCCGAGGUUCUAGAAGGAUGUGGCAUCUGUGCGAGAGCAGGAGACGCUGCGGGGGAAGGUGGAAUCGCUCUUGGCUCAGAGAGGGCUUUCACCUUCGACUAUGCCUUCGAACCUUUGGUGGGCCAGCAGGAGAUUUAUGACACAUGUGUCAGAAAGCUCGUGGAAUCGGCCCUCGAUGGAUACAACGCAACUGUGCUUGCAUAUGGACAGACUGGCUCCGGAAAGACAUACACAAUGGGAAGUGGCUGGGAGGGGGAGGGUGACCUUGACGAGGACAAAAGAGGCAUCAUUCCUCGAGCAAUCCGUGACCUGUUCACUGGGGCUGAAGAGAGGGCAGAAGCUGCCCGCGCGCAGGGUCAACUUCCGCCCGAGUUCUCGGUCCAAGCGCAGUUCAUUGAGCUUUACAAUGAAGACAUUGUGGACUUAUUAGACCCCGCGAAGGAUCCUUAUGCAAAGGGUAAUUUAAAAAUAACAGAAGAUGGUUGCGGUGGAGUAAGGAUAAUAGGAGCAUCCAUUCGAGCUGUCAGAGGCGCCAAGGAAGCCCUAGGAGCACUCCGAGCCGGCGCGUUAGCCCGGACCACAGCAGCAACGAACAUGAACUCGUCAUCAUCAAGAUCUCAUGCGGUCUUCACACUUCUCCUAAGACAGAGAAGACUGGCAGAUCACGAAGGUGUGAAAGAGAUGGAGACAGAUGGCGAUGCUCCCGAGCAGUAUGAGACGUUGACCGCUAAGUUCCAUUUCGUGGAUCUGGCUGGUUCAGAACGACUGAAAAGGACAGGAGCUACAGGAGAACGGGCCCGUGAAGGUAUAUCAAUAAACUGUGGUCUUCUGGCGUUAGGGAACGUCAUAUCAGCAUUGGGAGAUAAAUCCCGCAAAGUGAUGCAUGUACCAUAUCGGGACUCUAAACUGACGAGGCUUCUGCAGGAUUCUCUUGGAGGUAACAGCAACACUGUUAUGAUAGCGUGCGUUUCGCCCAGCGACCGCGACUUUAUGGAGACGUUGAAUACGUUAAAAUACGCGAACAGAGCCAGGAACAUAAAGAACAGAUGUGUGGUCAACCAGGACCUGACUUCGAGGACCAUACACCAACUUCGACAAGAAGUUGCCAGGCUGCAAUUGGAGCUGACUGAAUAUAAACAGGGCAAACGAAUCAUAUCAGAAAACGGUGAGGAAGGCUGGAGUGACGUGGUUCAAGAGAAUGCCAUUUUGCAUAACGAAAUCGAAUCUCUACGACGAAGACUGCAUGCCCUGCAGGGGACAGUAGACAAGCUGUCUGCUCGAAACAGUGAAUUGCUGGCUGAAAAGGCCUUAGGUGCUUGGGUACCGAAAGAGGGUAACCCUGACGCAUCUGAGUGCAAUCUUACGGCGUUAGUACAGGGUUACGUGUCAGAGAUAGAAGAUCUUCGGGCUCAGUUGAUGGAAUCAAAUGCCUUGUACGAAGCAAGCAGGCGACGCGAAGCAAGGACUAGACACGAUUCUUCUGUUCUCGAUACUUCUACCAUCAUUGACGAUGCGAAACGAGAACUCUAUAAGGAGAAAGAGUUGUUAGCACGCAGUAUGGGUGAACUAGAAUUUCAACGUAAACUAACAGAAGUGCCCGAGCCUUUUGGGGAGAGGGAACGAGCUGAAGGCGAAAGUGCUGGUGAUUCUGAACCCUCGGAAGAAGACGAGAGUGAUUCUGAAGAGGACAAUGAGAUUAAAGGGCAACAACUCCUAACGGCUCAACUGGCGGCCUUAAGUGAAGAUAUCGACACUAAGGCUCGUUUAGUGGACCAAUUAGAGGCAUCCCAAAGGAGAUUGGCCGCGCUGCGUACACAUUACGAACAAAGACUGGACCAUUUGCAUCAGCAGAUCAAGGCUACCGGAGAGGAGAGGGAUAAAGUCCUUGCGUCUUUGGCCUCUCAAUCAUCCCAGCCCAGUGAUAAACUCAAGCGUGUGAAAGAAGAAUACGAAAGACGAGUCUCCAGCAUGUCCCGAGAGUUGAGGCGACUUCAAGCAGCUCAAAGGGAACACGCCAGACUUCAGAAGUCCCAACAGCACACCGCACACCAGAUUCACUCUCUACGGAACGAGCUGCAGAAUUUGAAGCGGGAUAAGGUGAAAUUAGUACAAAGGAUGAGGAUGGAAUCAAAGAGACACGCCCAAGCAGAAGCAGCUAGAGCCAAAGAAGUAGCCCAGCUACGAAAAGAAUCUCGCAAAAAUGCCAACUUAAUAAGGAACUUAGAAGCGGAGACCAAACUAAAAGAACAGGUGUUAAAAAGGAAACAAGAAGAGGUUUCGCUUCUCCGUCGCGGGCACAGGGAUAAACUCAGCAGUAGGGCAGCUGGACGACUGCAUGAUCGCAAUCGUGGCAGAGCCCGUAUGACAGGCCGUGAAGUGUGGUCGCGUUUGGAAUGUUGGUUAUCCCGCGCAUGCGCAGCUCGUACUACGUUAGCAGAGUUGGAAGUGACCCUGGAACACCAGUUGAAACAGAGAGACACCGUUGGAGCCUCACAGGUCAACGACCCGGACUCGAAGGCUUUACUCGCCUACCUAAGAGGAGCUAUUGCGGAAACACAGUCGCAAAUAAUGCAGAUUGAGGAAGAGAACGAAGAAAACGAGCUCCCUCGAGUACUGGAACAGAUAGAGUGUGAGGCGGCGAGAUACGCGUUAGAGAGAUUGGCGGCUGUGGCUUUACAGCACGCCCAUGAAUCGGCAAGAAAUAGCAAGACUCUUCUCGACACUCGGGCUAGACUUGCUGAGGUGGAAGAGAAAUGUGAACAAACAGCCAGUGCAUUGCGGGCCGCUGACGAAAAUAACUUGAAUCCGUGGAACAAUUCGCAGGCUUUUGCUGCUUUGUUAGCUCAUGUCUCCUCUGGUACUUCUACAAGAUCUGUCUCACCUGUUGACAGCUCGCUAUUAGACACUCGCCCUCCAGUGCUCGGUGUGAGAGAAACAAACACUGCGCCUGCGUCUCCGCCUGAUGAUAAUUCACCAUUCCAAAGAAACACUGUACGUCGUGGGUCCGUUCGUCUGCGGGACUUAGGAGUAUACAGUCGUGAUGAGAACGUAGACCCGAUGACCCAGUCUUUAGUGGAGCCGACGUCUCCAAAACCAGUGCCUCUCAGCAGAGUUCCCAGUGCGCCUGGUAGCCUCAGGGGACUACAACCAAUCAACUCACAGUUGUCAUCUCCAGUAGCCAAUCGCCGAGCGCCACCCGAAAGCCCCCGACCAAUCAGAAGACAGCACUCACUAGCGAAACCAGCUUCUUUAGAUGCGAGUGGAGCGUCUGAGAAUACUCCACCAGCGUCUCCAAGUGCAGCAAGACGGGCGCGAGAUGAAGACGUAUUCCAAAGACUUGCUGGAGUCGCCUCUGAACAGGCUCCUACUGGAACCGUAAAAGUUCUCUCUCUUAAGCAACGCCUAAGCACAUGUGCAAUGGGGGGUGGCACAUGGCUGCAAUGUACGCACGUGGCGGAGGGCCACGUUGGGGCCGUCUCAGCUCUAGCAGCAGUGCCCAAUGCUUUAUAUAGUGGAGGUGUGGAUCGCACAGUCCGCGGUUGGGAUUUGAACGUGGGUCGGGAGGCGUGGCGAGCGUGGUGUGGGUUCGGGGUCAACGCCCUCAGCGCGGGUCAGGGCGUGACCGGGCAUGACUCUAGGGUGGUUAUCGCGGCAGCGGGAUGCGCUGUCCGACUUUUUGAUACCAGGAGCAACGCACCAGUGGCUACUCUAUGGUCUUCUGGCGCAGCGGGUGCAAACCAAGCACUGACUCGCAGCGUCGAAUCCAGUAUCACAGCGAUUGCGUUGACUGAACCACAAAUACUCUACACGGCUGCGGGAGACAAAUUACGUGUUUGGGAUUUACGAAUGCUGGAAUGCGUGUACAAGACAUGGUCAGGCCACACAGCCCCCGUAAUGUGUAUGGUUCGAAUGUCUUUGCCUCAAUGCGAUCGUCUCGCUACGGGCUCUAAAGAUCACUGCGUACGCGUCUUUGAUUGGACACAUGUUAAUGGUGUAUGGGAAGCGAGCAACCGUCGUCUCCUGGAACCGCCCCACUACGAUGGCGUACAGGCUCUGGUGCUGCGAAACAGCUCCAGUGGAGGGGAACUGCUGUACAGCGCUUCGAGGGACUCCAGUCUUAAGUGCUGGAGGCUCUCUGAUAACACGCUGGCACAUAGUGUAAUGAACGCUCACAAAGGCUGGGUGACCGGCAUUUGCGGAGUGGGGGGACUCCACAACACUGGUGGGUGGAUCGCGAGUUGUGGGCGCGACCAGGCCUUGCGUUUGUGGAGUCCCUCGCUCAAACCAGCAGCGCCACCUGCCCCCUUGCCGGACUUGCCUCACGCACUCGCCGCCUGCAGUGCCACCGGAUCGCUUUAUACCGCUGGAAGCGGCGGCGAAGUGCGCGCCUGGAGAGUUCUUCUCGACCCGUGAGCGACACACACAGACACAAACACACUUUCUCACACAUACACCACACAAAAUUUUAACGCAAGGUAUUUUAAUUUUCCAAAAAUUUUAUAACACUACACAAUUCGCUCGAAUUAUUGGCCACAAUGAAUGUUAUGUAGCGGACGGGUACGCUGCUUCCGUAUACUUGCAAACAGAUGACAUUCGGAAACCACAGGACCUUCAACACCAACUCGUCGAGCAUGGAGGUGACGGAAUUCGGAUAAAGAUAUCAAUUACAGCAGUUCCUACUGAAUUUACUGUUUUGACUCGAAAUUUUUCGGGAUUUUUAUAUGACAACUUUCGACUAAAUAUGAAAUAAUUAAAAUAUCGUCUCGUCAAUUAAUCAAGUCUUAACAUUCCUUGUGUACGUAUAGAGGCUCUAAAUCAUAAGAAAUAUUUAUUUAAUAAAAACAUGUACUUUUCAUAUACAAAUUAUAGUCCAAACAUUUAAUGGCGGUAGAUCAGAAAAUCAUAUUACACUUUAAACUCUGUCACGACUUGAUUCGACUUUAAUUUGAUCUCUAUUGGCUAAGGUAGUAUAAGUUGAUUGAUUUAAUAUUUAAACCUGGCUUUAUGUACUAUGUACAUUUAGCUACAUGGGCCUCAAUAGAAAAUAAAAUUCGGGCGAAUCUUAACGCCUUCGCUUAGCGAUAACUGUGAUUAGUCCCAAAAUGAAACAUAGAUAAUAAACUCAUAGGGUGAAAAUUUGUAUUAAUAACUUUAUCUUAACAAUAUAUAUUAAUUUAUCGGGAAUGUCAGGUUUUUCGUUUGGUUGGCGUCCUUUUGUGAACGCAAACGUAGUAGUAUAUAGAUUGUCACAAUUAUAUAUAUAUAGCCAAGCUUUUGCCAAAUUUUAUGCACAAGACCUCAUUUCUUAUAUCAAUGUUUUGAACAUAUAAUUAAAUCAGUCUUAUUACACUAUUUUGACUUAACGACUUGCUGUCUCUCUCUUAUUACUGUGCCGAAAGAGACAGACUUAGUAAGACUGUUUUAGUUUUAUACCUAUGUUUUUGUAUUAGAUUUUUAACUAUGUAAUCGAUAAAUAUAAGUAGAGUUGACAAAAUGUAGUCUGUGAUGGAUCAUCAAUUAUAUUUUUAUACAUUCCUGCGCUACGGGUAGAUAUAGCGAUUUAUAGAUAUAGGUUUUAUUAAUUUUUACACUUGGAGGUGAAUUGGUAUAAAUAAAAAAAUUAUAAUAAUAAAGUAUCUAAUUCUUAGCGAUAUCUUUAGGACGUUAUUAAGUCAUCAUUUUGAAAAGCUUAUUGCCCAAGUCCGAAUAGAAUGAAAAUAUAACGUCUUUUAAUCAAUGGGACUAAAUAAAUAAAGACAAUUUAACUUUUAAGUAGAUUCGAUCCUUUUGAUUGGUUGAUUAUGAUAAUUACCAAACUUACCUAUUUUAAACAGUAUUAUUUUGUGUCUGUGUUCAUUUUUUUCUGUUUGAUUUUAGAUUAUUUUAACAGGCUAUGUUUAUUGAGUGAUUAUCUAGGUUUUAAGUUUAUGAUUUAUGUUUGUUAAGUAAGCAAUUAAGCUGGGUUUUAUCGUUAAAUGAUUUUAUCUGUGGGAAUUCUUGCAAUGCUUUUUAGCUCAAUUGAAUCUCUUCGGCAUUAAUUACUAGUCAAGUCUAGAAGGAAAUAUUUUAAAUUGUUUUAGUUGAUGAAUUUUAAGCUUAAUAAUGUAAUGGCUAAGUGCAUCAGACAAUAUAUUUUUAUCGUGUAUCUAAUCAGUGUUAUCUAUGGAAAGUAUUAAUAAUGAAAUUAUUUUAUUCGCAAUUAUACAAUG